CAGUUCUCCUCUUCCUCUCUCACUAUUCGUUUUUUCCUCCACAGUGAAAUCAUCAAAGCCAAAACCGAAGACCCCAAAAGCCUACUCUCACUCUCUCAACUUCACUGUUUUUUCUUUGGUUUUUUGGAAUUUUCGCUCUCCAAGAGUUAGGGUUUUUUUUCAAUCAUGGCUUCGACGUCGUCGUCGGAUCCGGGGAUGAAAGCGGAGGCCAGCGGCGGAGAGAAUUCGGAGACGGUGAUAGCAAACGAUCAGCUAUUACUGUACAGAGGAUUGAAGAAAGCGAAGAAAGAGAGAGGCUGCACUGCUAAAGAACGUAUCAGUAAGAUGCCGCCUUGCACCGCCGGUAAACGCAGCUCCAUUUACCGUGGAGUCACCAGGCAUAGAUGGACUGGUCGUUAUGAAGCUCACCUUUGGGAUAAAAGUACUUGGAAUCAAAAUCAGAACAAGAAAGGGAAGCAAGUCUACUUAGGGGCAUAUGAUGACGAGGAGGCUGCGGCAAGAGCAUAUGAUCUUGCUGCUUUGAAAUACUGGGGUCCUGGGACACUCAUUAAUUUUCCGGUUACUGACUAUACUAGGGAUCUUGAGGAGAUGCAAAAUGUCUCAAGAGAGGACUACCUUGCAUCUCUUCGAAGAAAAAGCAGCGGUUUCUCAAGAGGAAUUUCUAAAUAUCGUGGUCUAUCAAGUAGUAGGUGGGACUCAUCAUUUGGUCGUGUUUCUGGAUCUGAAUACUUCAAUAGUAUGCAGUACAGUGAUGAUCCAGCCACAGAAAGUGAUUACAUAGGUGGUUUUUGCAUUGAGAGAAAAAUUGAUCUAACAGGUUGCAUUAAGUGGUGGGGAACCAACAAAACUUGUCAAGCAGAACCCGGAGCAAAAUCUUCUGAAGAAGCUAAACAUGCAUGCCCAGAAGACAUUGGCAGUGAACUUAAAACCUCAGAAUGGGCAGUGCAGCCUACUGAACCAUACCAAAUGCCCUGUCUGGGCACUUCCCUUGAAGGGACAAAACGUAAAGGGUCCUCUGCCUCUGCCUUGAGUAUAUUGUCUCGAUCUGCUGAUUUCAAGAGCCUGCAAGAGAGAGCAGUGAAAAAACAAGAAAACAAUGCUGAUAAUGAUGAGAAUGAGAACAAAAAUACUAUAAACAAAAUGGAUCAUGGCAAGGCAGCUGAAAAAUCAGUAAAUCAUGAUACUGGGAGUGACAGACUUGGAGCCACACUGGGAAUGAGUGCUGGAUUGUCUCUUCAGAAAAAUGUGUUCCCCUUGACUCCUUUCUUGUCUGCUCCACUUCUCACCAACUACAAUACCAUUGACUCCUUGGUGGACCCUGUGCUUUGGACAUCUCUUGUUCCUGUUCUUCCUACUGGACCAUCUCGUAAUCCUGAGGGGUGUUAAUUGACUCAUUAUUCCUCAGUAAUUUGAAAACAAUUUGUUAUUUCCUUCAAGCGCAGCUGGUUAUGAAAAUGGCUAGUAAGACCGAGACUAGUUCAACAUAUACUUUCUUUCGGCCAGAGGGAUGAUUAAUUUGAGUGCAAAAAAGGGGGGAACAUAUUUUGCUUGAAUUCUUGAUUUGGAGAUUUUUGCAGUACAACACUGGCAGCAGUAUGCACAGCUCAUUUUGUCUUCAAACGAGACUUCUGCUUGCUUUUUACAGGUUUGUCACUUGAAUUCUGAGAGAGAACAUAGGAAGAAAAUUGUAGUGUAUAAUACUACGUAGCAUGUAAGAUAUCCCAUGUGUAUUAUAUGGUAUUUAUUUAAAAGCAUGUAUACUAGGGUUGUGCCAAAAAUCAAAUGAGUGGAGUUGGUUUUUCAGUUGAACAAUAAAUAGGAUAACUUAUAUACUAAUGUCUUUGUACUCAAAGUGAAAAAUGCAAUCAGCAACGACAAUGGAUGCAGGCAGAUCUUAUUGUCUUCA